rnacentral:rRNA from 1 species
UAAUGUGAAUUGCAGAAUUCAGUGAAUCAUCGAAUCUUUGAACGCACCUUGCGCUCCUUGGUAUUCCGAGGAGCAUGCCUGUUUGAGUGUCAUUAAAUUAUCAACCUUUGGUCCACUUUUUAGUUGGCACCAAAUGGCUUGGAUGUGGGGGUUAUGCAGGUUUCAUUCUUGGAAAUCAGCUUCCCUGAAAUAUAUUAGCUGGUUGCCUUGUGUAAACUUGUCCAUUGGUGUGAUAAUUAUCUACGCCGUUGGCUGUUUGCCGGUUUUUAGCACUGCUUCUAACUGUCUGUUCAUUCAGACACUGUAUGACAAUUUGACCUCAAAUCAGGUAGGACUACCCGCUGAACUUAAGCAUAUCAAUAAGCGGAGGAAAAGAAACUAACAAGGAUUCCCCUAGUAACUGCGAGUGAAGCGGGAAAAGCUCAAAUUUAAAAUCUGGCGGUCUUUGGCCGUCCGAGUUGUAAUCUAGAGAAGUGUUAUCCGCGCUGGACCGUGUACAAGUCUCCUGGAAUGGAGCGUCAUAGAGGGUGAGAAUCCCGUCUUUGACACGGACUGCCAGGGCUUUUGUGAUGCGCUCUCAAAGAGUCGAGUUGUUUGGGAAUGCAGCUCAAAAUGGGUGGUAAAUUCCAUCUAAAGCUAAAUAUUGGCGAGAGACCGAUAGCGAACAAGUACCGUGAGGGAAAGAUGAAAAGAACUUUGGAAAGAGAGUUAAACAGUACGUGAAAUUGCUGAAAGGGAAACGCUUGAAGUCAGUCGCAUUGUCUGGGAAUCAACCUUGCUUUUGCUGGGUGUACUUUCCAGUUAAUGGGUCAGCAUCAAUUUUGACCAUUGGAUAAAGUCUAGAGGAAUGUGGCAUCUUCGGAUGUGUUAUAGCCUUUGGAUGCAUACAAUGGUUGGGAUUGAGGAACUCAGCAUGCCGAAAGGCCGGGUACUUGUACCACGUUCAUGCUUAGGAUGCUGGCAUAAUGGCUUUAAUCGACCCGUCUUGAAACACGGACCAAGGAGUCUAACAUGCCUGCGAGUAUUUGGGUGGAAAACCCGAGUGCGCAAUGAAAGUGAAAGUUGAGAUCCUUGUCAUGGGGAGCAUCGACGCCCGGACCAGACCUUUUGUGACGGAUCUGCGGUAGAGCAUGUAUGUUGGGACCCGAAAGAUGGUGAACUAUGCCUGAAUAGGGUGAAGCCAGAGGAAACUCUGGUGGAGGCUCGUAGCGAUUCUGACGUGCAAAUCGAUCGUCAAAUUUGGGUAUAGGGGCGAAAGACUAAUCGAACCAUCUAGUAGCUG